rnacentral:tRNA from 1 species
GGCGUGGCUCGGGGGUAGAGCACCCAGUAGGCAUCUGGAAGAUACCAGGUUCGAUCCCUGGAAUCUCCG